UACGUAGGGUCCGAGCGUUGUCCGGAAUUAUUGGGCGUAAAGGGCUCGUAGGCGGUUUGUCGCGUCGGGAGUGAAAACACCGGGCUUAACUCGGUGCUUGCUUUCGAUACGGGCAGACUGGAGGUAUGCAGGGGAGAACGGAAUUCCUGGUGUAGCGGUGAAAUGCGCAGAUAUCAGGAGGAACACCGGUGGCGAAGGCGGGGAUCUGGCCGUG
rnacentral:rRNA from 1 species